UAUGGAAAUAGAGAGGAGCAAAAUCUGUCCGAUCUACUUUCCCCAAUCUGUGAAGUAGCUAAUAAUAUAGAACAGAAUGCUCAAGAGAAUGAAAAUGAAAGCCAAGUUUCAACAGAUGAAAGUGAGAACUCCAGGUCUCCUGGAAAUAAAUCAGAUAACAUCAAGCCCAAAUCUGCUCCAUGGAACUCUUUUCUCCCUCCACCACCCCCCAUGCCAGGGCCAAGACUGGGACCAGGAAAGAUAAUUCCCCCACCACCUCCCAUAUGUCCAGAUUCUCUUGAUGAUGCUGAUGCUUUGGGAAGUAUGUUAAUUUCAUGGUACAUGAGUGGCUAUCAUACUGGCUAUUAUAUGGUAAGUAAUCACUCAGCAUCUUUUCCUGACAAUUUUUUUGUAGUUAUGUGACUUUGUUUUGUAAAUUUAUAAAAUACUACUUGCUUCUCUCUUUAUAUUACU
rnacentral:sRNA from 1 species